GAAAUCCCUUAUUAAUUUUUUCCCUAAAUUUUACACAUUAAAACCCCUAAAAUUUCCCCCUAAAAUUUUCCCCUAAAAUCAGUAUCCCCAAAACACAUCUAAUUUUUCACCCAAAUCGAAAUCCUUCCACCAUUUCCAUGUCGCCAUACUGAUCCGUAAUCCUCAGCAUCUCUCUCACUGCAUUUCCUGUUUCUCUAAAUCUUCAUCCAUUUGAUUUUCGCCGAAAUCUAAAACUUCUAUUUUUUGACCGACGAUGGGAAAGAAAGGGAGUGGAUGGUUCUCGACGGUGAAUAAAGUGUUCAAAUCAUCUAGCAAAGACUUGCCAGACAAAAAAGUAACGUAUUUUUUCAUUGGUUUUUAGAAUUUUUUUUUUGCCUUUUGAUGUUUUUAGCAGGUUGAUUUGAUUGCCCUCUAGUUAAUGAAACAGGCACAGUAGCACCGCAAGGAAGAAAAGUAGAGAGUAAAAAAAGAAUCCAAUUCCUCAAGAAGAUGUCUUACAUUCCGAAGGAGUACAAAAGCUAGUUUCUACAAACAUGAAGGAGUUGCUAAGUAUUGCUGCAGAAGACAAGAGGCUCAUGUUUUGAAGGAGAAUGGGAACUUGUUGGAAUUGGUUGAUACAAGGAUUGGCUCAGAUUGCAACAUAGAUGAAGUACUGGUGGAUAUGAUCAACAUUGCACUAUUGCAAACUAUGAUUCUAUCAGAUAAAACAAGGGGUGAUGUAUAGGUACUGAAGCAGCACCAAGAAAGAACAUAUAUGUUCUUUUACAGGGAAACUGGACCUGGGAACAUGCAAAACUUAAAGCUAGAAUGCAGACUUUACAAAGAAACCUGAGGCAUUACGAAGGAGAAGAUACCUAGAAUUUGAGUCUUAGAGAGCUUCAAAAUUUGGAGCAACAACUUGAUUCUGUCUUUAAACGCAUAAGAUCCAAAAAGAAAUGUGAUGAAGAUGAUUAUAUUCUCACCUACCAGGACAAAGAAGGAGAAUGGCUGAUUGCAGGCGAUAUUCCAUGGCACUAUUGGUUUCAAUUAGAUGAGGCUAACAUCUCCAUCACCGGUGUAUAGAGGUAUCUUCGCCACGUUCCUCGUAGGUUCAAGACAGGUUUCAGGGAAGGUACUGAAGCAGCACCAAGAAAGAAGGUUGCAGCAGCUUCUGCUUAAAAGACAAAUUGUAAUGGUAUGAGGUUUUGUUUUGGAUGAAGCCAUGUUUAUGAGGAAACAUUUAGUGAUGAAGAGUGAAAUUAUAUUCCAUUGGAUGCUUUAGUUGUUAUUUAGUUUCUAUUUGAAUGUAGCUGUCUUACAUUUUGAACAUUUAUUGGAGCUAAUGUUUGACCCUUAA